CUGGCCUUCUGACAACAUGUCAGGAGGACCAUCUGCUUCCAGACUGUGGCUGACCGCAGCAGGUCGGGGUGACUUGCAAAGGCCUGGCAGGCUCACUCUUUGGACUGCUCCACUGUGGCUCCUGCUGGCCUAUCCCACUGCCAACUGAAUCAUCCACCGUUGGAGGCCAGCUGCCAUCACGGUCACCAAGGAUCCCAUGGAGGUGAUUCCAGGCUGGAAAAUUACUCAGAAGCUCAUCUUCCCGACCCAGGUAUCUCCCUUACAGAUGGCCAUUUAGCCUCUUGAAGCACGCAAAGUUAAAACACAAACAUUCACCAAAGACUUUUACAGCAAGAAAGAUAAUUUUGAUGACUGGUGAAACAUUAAACAACAAGAGGAAAUAUUUCAUUUUGGGAACAGCCAGCACAGGAGAAAACGAGAAAGAAUCACUUCCUCCAGCUGAAAACUGGAUGCCGUCCUGGGGGUGUAAUGUACAGCACAGUGACUACAGUCGUUACGACUGUACUAACAUUUGAAAGUAGUUACCAGAAGAGUGGAUCUUGAAAGUUCUGGUCAUGAGAAAAAAAUUUCUGUAACUAUGUAUGGCGAUGGAAGUUAACUGGUCUGUGGUGAUCAUUCUGCAAUAUAUACAAAUAUGCAACAUA